rnacentral:rRNA from 1 species
GAGAAAAGCCUCUAGCUAGAAUAACGGUGCCCGUACCGCAAACCGACACAGGUAGUCAAGAUGAGAAUUCUAAGGUGAGCGAGCGAACUCUCGUUAAGGAACUCGGCAAAAUGACCCCGUAACUUCGGGAGAAGGGGUGCUCUUUGAGGUUCACGCUUCGAAGAGCCGCAGUGAAUAGGCCCAAGCGACUGUUUAUCAAAAACACAGGUCUCUGCUAAACCGUAAGGUGACGUAUAGGGGCUGACGCCUGCCCGGUGCUGGAAGGUUAAGAGGAGUGGUUAGCGCAAGCGAAGCUACGAAUCGAAGCCCCAGUAAACGGCGGCCGUAACUAUAACGGUCCUAAGGUAGCGAAAUUCCUUGUCGGGUAAGUUCCGACCCGCACGAAAGGCGUAACGAUUUGGGCACUGUCUCAACGAGAGACUCGGUGAAAUCAUAGUACCGGUGAAGAUGCCGGUUACCCGCGACAGGACGGAAAGACCCCGUGGAGCUUUACUGUAGCCUGAUAUUGAAAUUCGGUACAGUUUGUACAGGAUAGGUAGGAGCCUUAGAAGCGUGAGCGCUAGCUUACGUGGAGGCAUUGGUGGGAUACUACCCUAAUUGUAUUGGAUUUCUAACCCGCAGCACUUAUCGUGCUGGGAGACAGUGUCAGGCGGGCAGUUUGACUGGGGCGGUCGCCUCCUAAAGAGUAACGGAGGCGCUCAAAGGUUCCCUCAGAAUGGUUGGAAAUCAUUCAUAGAGUGUAAAGGCAUAAGGGAGCUUGACUGCGAGACCUACAAGUCGAGCAGGGUCGAAAGACGGACUUAGUGAUCCGGUGGUUCCGCAUGGAAGGGCCAUCGCUCAACGGAUAAAAGCUACCCCGGGGAUAACAGGCUUAUCUCCCCCAAGAGUUCACAUCGACGGGGAGGUUUGGCACCUCGAUGUCGGCUCAUCGCAUCCUGGGGCUGUAGUCGGUCCCAAGGGUUGGGCUGUUCGCCCAUUAAAGCGGUACGCGAGCUGGGUUCAGAACGUCGUGAGACAGUUCGGUCCCUAUCCGUCGUGGGCGUAGGAAAUUUGAGAGGAGCUGUCCUUAGUACGAGAGGACCGGGAUGGACAUACCUCUGGUGUACCAGUUGUCGUGCCAACGGCAUAGCUGGGUAGCUAUGUAUGGACGGGAUAAGUGCUGAAAGCAUCUAAGCAUGAAGCCCCCCUCGAGAUGAGAUUUCCCAACUUC